CGGGGUGCAGCAGGCGCGAAAACUUUACAAUGCUGGCAACAGCGAUAAGGGGACCUCGAGUGCCAGGAUACAAUCUUGGCUGUCGUGAUGCCUAAAAAGCAUUACAUAGCAAGGGCCGGGCAAGACCGGUGCCGGCCGCCGCGGUAACACCGGCGGCUCGAGUGGUAACCGCUAUUAUUGGGUCUAAAGGGUCUGUAGCCGGCCGGAUAAGUCUCUUGGGAAAUCCAGCAGCUCAACUGUUGGGCUUCCAGGGGAUACUGUUCGGCUCGAGGCCGGGAGAGGUGAGAGGUACUUCAGGGGUAGGGGUGAAAUCUUGUAAUCCUUGAAGGACCACCAGUGGCGAAGGCGUCUCACCAGAACGGUCCUGACGGCAAGGGACGAAAGCUAGGGGCACGAACCGGAUUAGAUACCCGGGUAGUCCUAGCCGUAAACGAUACUCGCUAGGUGUCAGCCACGGUGCGACCGUGGUUGGUGCCGUAGGGAAGCCGUGAAGCGAGCCACCUGGGAAGUACGGCCGCAAGGCUGAAACUUAAAGGAAUUGGCGGGGGAGCAC
rnacentral:rRNA from 1 species